rnacentral:lncRNA from 1 species
CAGAUGAUGAUGGCACAUAGCCCAUGUCCUGCUGUGGGAUUAAAGGACAGCAUUACCAUACUUCAAAACCAAAAUACCAAAUUAUAAAGAUGCAUCCAAAAGGGAUAUCUAUCAGACAUUCUACCUGGCGUCUGCUGCUCCAUCAUCACUGCAUCCAUCAUCACCAGAGGAGUCUCCUCUCCUUCUGUGGUCUCAUGACCAGAAAAUGGAAGAAGUUAAAAGCUUAUUGGAUUGACAAAAAAAAAAAUAAAUAAUAAUAAUAACAAAAAAA